GACGAACGCUGGCGGCGUGCUUAACACAUGCAAGUCGAGCGGAGAGGCCACUUCGGUGGUACUCGAGCGGCGAACGGGUGAGUAACACGUGGGUAAUCUGCCCUUGGCUUUGGGAUAGCCACCGGAAACGGUGAUUAAUACCGGAUAUGCACUACUUCUCGCAUGGGUUGUGGUGGAAAGUUUUUCGGCCAGGGAUGUGCUCGCGGCCUAUCAGCUUGAUGGUGAGGUAAUGGCUCACCAUGGCUUCGACGGGUAGCCGGCCUGAGAGGGUGACCGGUCACACUGGGACUGAGACACGGCCCAGACUCCUACGGGAGGCAGCAGUGGGGAAUAUUGGACAAUGGGCGGAAGCCUGAUCCAGCAACGCCGCGUGAGGGAUGACGGCCUUCGGGUUGUAAACCUCUUUCGGUAGGGACGAAGCGCAAGUGACGGUACCUACUAAAGAAGCACCGGCCAACUACGUGCCAGCCGCCGCAGUAAAAC
rnacentral:rRNA from 1 species